rnacentral:rRNA from 1 species
GCGGCGUGCUUAACACAUGCAAGUCGAACGGAAAGGCCCUGCUUUUGUGGGGUGCUCGAGUGGCGAACGGGUGAGUAACACGUGAGUAACCUGCCCUUGACUUUGGGAUAACUUCAGGAAACUGGGGCUAAUACCGGAUAGGAGCUCCUGCUGCAUGGUGGGGGUUGGAAAGUUUCGGCGGUUGGGGAUGGACUCGCGGCUUAUCAGCUUGUUGGUGGGGUAGUGGCUUACCAAGGCUUUGACGGGUAGCCGGCCUGAGAGGGUGACCGGCCACAUUGGGACUGAGAUACGGCCCAGACUCCUACGGGAGGCAGCAGUGGGGAAUAUUGCACAAUGGGCGGAAGCCUGAUGCAGCAACGCCGCGUGCGGGAUGACGGCCUUCGGGUUGUAAACCGCUUUCGCCUGUGACGAAGCGUGAGUGACGGUAAUGGGUAAAGAAGCACCGGCUAACUACGUGCCAGCAGCCGCGGUGAUACGUAGGGUGCGAGCGUUGUCCGGAUUUAUUGGGCGUAAAGGGCUCGUAGGUGGUUGAUCGCGUCGGAAGUGUAAUCUUGGGGCUUAACCCUGAGCGUGCUUUCGAUACGGGUUGACUUGAGGAAGGUAGGGGAGAAUGGAAUUCCUGGUGGAGCGGUGGAAUGCGCAGAUAUCAGGAGGAACACCAGUGGCGAAGGCGGUUCUCUGGGCCUUUCCUGACGCUGAGGAGCGAAAGCGUGGGGAGCGAACAGGCUUAGAUACCCUGGUAGUCCACGCUGUAAACGGUGGGUACUAGGUGUGGGGUCCAUUCCACGGGUUCCGUGCCGUAGCUAACGCUUUAAGUACCCCGCCUGGGGAGUACGGCCGCAAGGCUAAAACUCAAAGGAAUUGACGGGGCCCCGCACAAGCGGCGGAGCAUGCGGAUUAAUUCGAUGCAACGCGUAGAACCUUACCUGGGUUUGACAUGGAUCGGGAGUGCUCAGAGAUGGGUGUGCCUCUUUUGGGGUCGGUUCACAGGUGGUGCAUGGCUGUCGUCAGCUCGUGUCGUGAGAUGUUGGGUUAAGUCCCGCAACGAGCGCAACCCUUGUUCACUGUUGCCAGCACGUUAUGGUGGGGACUCAGUGGAGACCGCCGGGGUCAACUCGGAGGAAGGUGGGGAUGACGUCAAGUCAUCAUGCCCCUUAUGUCCAGGGCUUCACGCAUGCUACAAUGGCUGGUACAGAGAGUGGCGAGCCUGUGAGGGUGAGCGAAUCUCGGAAAGCCGGUCUCAGUUCGGAUUGGGGUCUGCAACUCGACCUCAUGAAGUCGGAGUCGCUAGUAAUCGCAGAUCAGCAACGCUGCGGUGAAUACGUCCCCGGGGCUUGUACACACCGCCCGUCAAGUCAUGAAAGUUGGUAACACCCGAAGCCGGUGGCCUAACCGUUGUGGGGGAGCCGUCGAAGGUGGGACUGGUGAUUAGGACUAA